UCCAAUUUCAUCCUAACCUAAAAAUUCAUGAUCAUCUAUGAGAAAAAAAACAUGAUAGAAAAUUACCGAUCAAUCGAAAUUACGAGGUUCAGACACGUCUCUGCUAUUUCACUGUCCAUUUUAGAUCCAAUCCACAUCCAAAUAUUCAAACCUCAGAACGACUAAAAUAAGAAACAAAGGACUAUCGAAAGUAAGUGGCCAGUCAAAACUACAAAAAUCAGACACGUUUCUGGCAUUUCACGGUCCCGUUGUUCGACUCGUAUUAAUUACCAUUGCCAUAAAUUCCCAUGUUAUGCGAAGAGACGAAAAGAAGUUUGUUGCUUUGUCGGCCCAGCAUCAUUAGGGUCGGCUCCCCACUCAAUCUGUUCCCCUCCUAGAAUUCCUGUUCUAUUUCACACGAGUGACACGUAGCACGGAGAAAGACGCAUUAGGGUCGAACGGAAACGGAUAUUAGAAAACGUCGGAUUCGAGACUGUUUUUCCGCGACAUCGUGAUGACGACAACAUCGAGAUCUGACGAGUAGACGUCGAUGAAACGGCGACAUCAUCGAAGACGACCUCGAUUCCAUCAAGGAUAAGGUCUCUAGAGGGAGAUCCCGGGAGAGCUCCCCGAUUACUUUCGCCAUUCUAAAUGCGCUCGAAUUUCUAAGAUAUUCCAGCGUACAUAUUGCGUUCGACGCGAUCGACGCUGCGGAGAAAUUCGUGGGAACACACUUGCCACGAGCCGCGAUUUCGCGGCUUCUCCACGGGUUUCAAGAGCUACUGAGAAAUUGAAAGAUUCGAAAAUUGGAAAAUUUUAUAUUUGGAAUCUCAAAAAUUUCAUGGCUUGAAGAUUGGAAAAUUUUUAAUUGAGAAUUUUGAUAUCUUGACGCAUUGAAAAUUCUGUAAAAUUCUAAACUUAAAAUUUUGAUCAUUUUAUUGCUUUAGAAUUUGGAAACUUGACGCUUUAAAAAAUGGAGAAAUAAAAGUUUGACGCAAUGAAAAUUGGAAAAUUAAGACGUCGGACUUUUGCAAAAAUCAAAAAUUCGUUACUCCAUAUACGAGCAUUUUGGCAAAGAGACUAAUGAAAUGAAGAGCGCAUUAAUCAAUCAAAUAUUUCUGAACUAUAAUUACUCGGGUAGUAAGGUUAAUUAGCCGCGGGUGUAGCAAGGUGCAUGUAUAUUUAAUAAGAUAAGAAUUGUGGCGCGCCGCUUGUUCCAGACGCUUGCUGAUGUCAUCUAUUCAAAUAUCCGCGUGUUACAAACAACUAAAUAUAUAUUCUGAAAACAGUCAGAACAUUUUACCAAAAUCAUACUAAAUUUCUUCAAACCUUAUGAACUCCAGUAAUUUCUCUCUAUUUUAUUACAAUUAAAAACAAAGAAAACAAAAGUACCCGAAAAGAAGGAGUCAAAGAGUCAAUAAUACUCAAUAACCAAAAACAACACAAAGAAAUCUUAAAAGACUCACCGUAGAUGUCAUCCAACUUCAAUCACCAAAUUCUUCUAAGGUAUGAUUUAUUUUAUUUUGAAAUAUUUUUCAGUCACUGUCAAAAA